ACUGCUGCACGCUCAGGCCGCCUUGUCCUCACGCCCGCCCGAGAAGCUCGCAUUCUGAGGCCCUGAGGGUAGAACUUGAAUCCACGACUUUUGGAAGACACAGCUCACCGGUACCAGAGCUGCUGGGUGGCUUCUCCUUCAUUACAUGCAAACACCCGAUGAGCAGCUUCAUGCCCAGUAUUUUGAAACUUCCAUUAAAGG